GGAGAGGUGACCGAGUGGCUGAAGGUGCUCGCCUGCUAAGCGAGUGUGCGUUCAAGCGUACCGUGGGUUCGAAUCCCACCCUCUCCG
rnacentral:tRNA from 1 species